UAGUCCACGCUGUAAACGAUGAAUACUCGCUGUUAGCAAUACACAGUUAGCGGCUAAGCGAAAGCAUUAAGUAUUCCACCUGGGGAGUACGUUCGCAAGAAUGAAACUCAAAGGAAUUGACGGGGGCCCGCACAAGCGGAGGAACAUGUGGUUUAAUUCGAUGAUACGCGAGGAACCUUACCUGGGCUUAAAUGUAGAUCGACGUUUCUGGAAACAGAUUCUCCCUUCGGGGCGAACUACAAGGUGCUGCAUGGUUGUCGUCAGCUCGUGCCGUGAGGUGUCGGGUUAAGUCCCAUAACGAGCGCAACCCUUAUCCUUAGUUGCCAGCGGGUAAUGCCGGGGACUCUAAGGAGACUGCCAGUGUAAACUGUGAGGAAGGUGGGGAUGACGUCAAAUCAGCACGGCCCUUAUGUCCAGGGCUACACACGUGUUACAAUGGCCGAUACAAAGGGCAGCUACCUGGUGACAGGAUGCUAAUCUCUAAAGUCGGUCUCAGUUCGGAUCGAAGUCUGCAA
rnacentral:rRNA from 1 species